UACGUAGGUGGCAAGCGUUAUCCGGAAUUAUUGGGCGUAAAGAGCGCGCAGGUGGUUGAUUAAGUCUGAUGUGAAAGCCCACGGCUUAACCGUGGAGGGUCAUUGGAAACUGGUCGACUUGAGUGCAGAAGAGGGAAGUGGAAUUCCAUGUGUAGCGGUGAAAUGCGUAGAUAUCGGGAGGAACACCGGUGGCGAAGGCGGCGAUCUGGGUCGAUACUGACGCUGAGGUGCGAAAGCGUGGGGAGCAAACAGG
rnacentral:rRNA from 1 species